rnacentral:rRNA from 1 species
AACGAACGCUGGCGGCGUGCCUAACACAUGCAAGUCGAACGAGAAGUACGUAGCAAUACGUAUUGUAAAGUGGCGCACGGGUGAGUAACACGUGGGUAAUCUGCCCUUGAGUUUGGGAUAACCCCGCGAAAGCGGGGCUAAUACCGAAUAAGACCACGGGGACCAAAGUCCCUGAGGUAAAAGACGGCCUCUAUUUAUAAGCUGUCACUUGAGGAUGAGCGCGCGGCCCAUUAGCUAGUUGGUAGGGUAACGGCCUACCAAGGCGAUGAUGGGUAGCUGGUCUGAGAGGACGAUCAGCCACACUGGAACUGAGACACGGUCCAGACUCCUACGGGAGGCAGCAGUGGGGAAUAUUGCGCAAUGGGCGAAAGCCUGACGCAGCAACGCCGCGUGGGGGAUGAAGGUUCUCGGAUUGUAAACCCCUUUCGACCGGAACGAAUCUCCUCCUGGUAAAUAAUCAGGAGGAUCGACGGUACCGGGAGAAGAAGCCACGGCUAACUCUGUGCCAGCCGCCGCGGUAA